GGAUUAGAUACCCUGGUAGUCCACGCUGUAAACGGUGGGUACUAGGUGUGGGGUCCAUUCCACGGAUUCUGUGCCGUAGCUAACGCAUUAAGUACCCCGCCUGGGGAGUACGGCCGCAAGGCUAAAACUCAAAGGAAUUGACGGGGCCCCGCACAAGCGGCGGAGCAUGCGGAUUAAUUCGAUGCAACGCGAAGAACCUUACCUGGGUUUGACAUGGAUCGGGAGCUUCCAGAGAUGGUUGUGCCUCUUUUGGGGUCGGUUCACAGGUGGUGCAUGGCUGUCGUCAGCUCGUGCCG
rnacentral:rRNA from 1 species